GGAGUUAGCCGGUGCUUCUUCUGUGAGUGAUGUCCUUCCUGCCGGCUAUUAACCCGCAGGCCUUCUUCCUCACUGAAAGUGCUUUACAACCCGAAGGCCUUCUUCACACACGCGGCAUGGCUGGAUCAGGGUUGCCCCCAUUGUCCAAUAUUCCCCACUGCUGCCUCCCGUAGGAGUCUGGGCCGUGUCUCAGUCCCAGUGUGGCUGAUCAUCCUCUCAGACCAGCUACGGAUCGUCGCCUUGGUGAGCCGUUACCUCACCAACCAGCUAAUCCGACAUAGGCUCAUCCGAUAGCGCGAGGCCCGAAGGUCCCCCGCUUUCCCCCGUAGGGCGUAUGCGGUAUUAGCCUGGGUUUCCCCAGGUUAUCCCCCACUACCGGGCAGAUUCCUAUGCAUUACUCACCCGUCCGCCGCUCGCCACCAGGGAGCAAGCUCCCCGUGCUGCCGCUCGACUUGCAUGUGUUAGGCCUGCCGCCAGCGUUCAAUCUGAGCCAUAGANAACAACUCGUACGUACUAGACGGCGGUCGUCGGACGACGGCGACUAAGUAG
rnacentral:rRNA from 1 species